rnacentral:rRNA from 1 species
UCCACCGUUAUGCCUUAGUAGCGGCGAGUGAGCGGCAUAGCUCAAAUUUGAAAUCUGGCGUCUUCGGCGUCCGAGUUGUAAUUUGAAGAAGGUAUCUUUGAGGCUGGCUCUUGUCUAUGUUCCUUGGAACAGGACGUCACAGAGGGUGAGAAUCCCGUGCGAUGAGAUGCCCAGUUUCGUGUAAAGUUCCUUCGACGAGUCGAGUUGUUUGGGAAUGCAGCUCUAAGUGGGUGGUAAAUUCCAUCUAAAGCUAAAUAUUGGCGAGAGACCGAUAGCGAACAAGUACUGUGAAGGAAAGAUGAAAAGAACUUUGAAAAGAGAGUGAAAAAGUACGUGAAAUUGUUGAAAGGGAAGGGCUUGAGGUCAGACUUGGUUUACCAGGCCAGCAUCAGUUUGGGUGGCAGGAUAAUAGCUAAGGAAAGUGGCACGAUUUCGGUUGUGUGUUAUAGCCUUGGUUGAUACUGCCUGCCUAGACUGAGGACUGCGUCUUUGACUAGGAUGCUGGCAUAAUGACCUUAAGCCGCCCGUCUUGAAACACGGACCCA